GAAGCUCGGUGGUAGAACAUCUGCUUUGCAUGCAGAAGGUCCCAGGUUCAAUCUCCAGGCUGGAUUG